rnacentral:rRNA from 1 species
AUUGAACGCUGGCGGCAUGCCUUACACAUGCAAGUCGAACGGUAGCAGGUCUUCGGAUGCUGACGAGUGGCGAACGGGUGAGUAAUACAUCGGAACGUGCCCGAGAGUGGGGGAUAACGAGGCGAAAGCUUUGCUAAUACCGCAUACGAUCUCAGGAUGAAAGCAGGGGACCGCAAGGCCUUGCGCUCACGGAGCGGCCGAUGGCAGAUUAGGUAGUUGGUGGGAUAAAAGCUUACCAAGCCGACGAUCUGUAGCUGGUCUGAGAGGACGACCAGCCACACUGGGACUGAGACACGGCCCAGACUCCUACGGGAGGCAGCAGUGGGGAAUUUUGGACAAUGGGCGCAAGCCUGAUCCAGCCAUGCCGCGUGCAGGAUGAAGGCCUUCGGGUUGUAAACUGCUUUUGUACGGAACGAAAAGACUCUGGUUAAUACCUGGGGUCCAUGACGGUACCGUAAGAAUAAGCACCGGCUAACUACGUGCCAACCGCCGCGGUAAAAC